CCCAUUUGAGAACCACUUGUAUAAAAGAACUUACCCUCUCCAUUGAAAAGAACUUACCCUCUCCAUUGGGAUUCUUUAACAGGUUUCUAGCCAUGACGACAGACAGCACGCUGAGUCUAAACAGAAGAAGAGCAACUUAGAACAUCUGCGCCUUCCAUUGUUCAUCGGUCUCAAGUAGGACUGGGCAAUACGUACAAUCCAGCUCCUCCAUUGAUAUCUUUUACAAUCAAGCAAAACUGCUUACCUUGUCACGUGGAAACCUCAUAGUGAUGCGUGUUGAGUCACCCCAAGAUGCACGAGGACCAAGACAGGCAGGAAUUGCAGACUACAGUGGAUUACACGGCCUCAUCCUGCAGCUGAAAAAGGCAGCUGUGAUCUUGACUCCUCGGCUUCUCUCAGAGACAUUGGCGUUCACCGCAGCCAUCCGACUUUCAGGGGUAUGACUUUACAAUCUCACUAAAGUACUAACAACACAAUAAGCAGAUAAGGGAUGUUCCAGAAUUAUCCUAGUAAAUGUGUCUCAUUACACCUGCAACUCUCCCAGUGCCGCCGCCUGGAGCCGUUGACUUUUCUUCUUUUCUUUUUUUUUUUAGUGCUCCAAUCUAACUUUCUUCAUCCACGAAUAUUUCAUCCUCGCUCAAAUUAAUGGGGAAAUCGUCGCCUUCUCGGUCCGAAUAGCUCUCACUGCUGGUGGCCAUGAUUGUAAACAAUGUUCAGAUGUGAGGAGCUCCACAACCCGUGACAUCACGUGCACAUCGUCUGCUACUUUCGGCAUGGAACUUUUGACCUCCCUCUUGUGGAUAAGAUGUUCUGGUGUGGACUGCAGAGAUGAGGGACUCUUUGUGGCAGGAGGCUGAAGCUGUGUGCAAUUUCAGUGCAUUGAGAGUGUGUUGAGAAGAGCAGCUAAGGGGUCCUUCCGUGACCACGUCCACAGGAUAGAGCAGGUCGUGGCCGAGAGCCUUGAGAGGGCAUCUCACCUCUAAUGUGGAUUGACUGACGACACUGGGGCCGUUGUUCACCAACUGGAAGACACAGACAGUUUGAACUUGUCGGCACAAUACAGGCCUGAAGUUGCAACGUACCUCGUAGACCUGUUGGAGCUCAGGGCCAAUGUCCUGCUCAUUGACCAGACUCUGAUGAACACUCCAGUUGGGAGGGGGGAAGAAGACUUUGUCUGGCCGAGAAACACUGCAACGGAAGACGUGAAAGUUUAGUGACAAGCAGGAGUAAGAAUGUGACUUAGAGCAGUCCGUGAUGCCUCACCCCUGCAGGAUGACAUCAGCCAUUGCAGCUACCUCCAGCUGGAAGAGCACCACUUCACUCUCUGAGUUAUUAGCAUUUUUACUACAACACAUCAAAAAAGGAAAAAUAAAUAUAUCACAGAUAUCAAUCCAUCCAUGCAUCUAUUUUCUGCCGCUCAUCUGUUGCUUAUUCUAGAUCAGUGGUUCUCAAAUGGGGGUCCACGUACCCCUGGGGGUACUUGAAGGUAUGCCAAGGGGUACGUGAGUUUUUUUUUUAAAUAUUCUAAAAAUGGCAACAAUUCAAAAAUCCUUUAUAAAUAUAUUUAUUGAAUGAUACUUCAACAAAAUAUGAAUGUAAGUUCAUAAAGUGUGAAAAGAAAUACAACAAUGCAAUAUUCAGUGUUGACAGCUAGAUUUUUUGUGGACAUGUUCCAUAAAUAUUGAUGUUAAAGAUUUCUUUUUUUGUGAAGAAAUGUUUAGAAGUAAGUUGAUGAAUCCAGAUGGAUCUCUAUUACAAUCCCCAAAGAGGGCACUUUAAGUUGAUGAUUACUUCUAUGUGGAGAAAUCUGCAUUUAUCAUUCAAUCACUUGUUUAUUUUUCAACAAGUUUUUAGUUUUUUUCUUCUCCUAAAUAGUUGAAGAAAGACCACUACAAAUGAGCAAUAUUUUACUCUGUUGUACAAUUUAAUAAAUCAGAAACUGAUGACAUAGUGCUGUAUUUUACUUCUUUAUCUCUUAGGGGGUACUUGAAUUAAAAACAUGUUCACAGGGGGUACAUUACUGAAAAAAGUUAGAGAACCACUGUUCUAGAUGACGGACCUCCUCACCCAGGAAAUCCUUUUCAGUCACAACCGAAAGUAACCAUUAGGAUUGCAAAAUUCCGUGAAUAUUCAAAGUUGGAAACUUUCCAUGGUAAUUAACGGGAAUAUAUGGGAAUUAAUGGGAAUAAACAUUGAAGAUAGAUGGAUGGAUCGAUUUAUAUGGAUAGAUAGUACUUUGAAUGCAACAUGCUAGAUCUUGCAACAUGACUAUUGGCUAAAACAACCUGAUUUAAUGCAAAUUCAGUUGAAUUUCAACCCAUCACAUGAACAGAUCAUUCCCAGCAUGCUACACACGACAACAGGGCUUUUGAGGCCACACUAGUGUUUGAGCCCAAGGACUUCAUCCAGUCAGGUAAGUUUUGAUGAUAUUACUGGGGUAAAUACAAACCCCGUUUCCAUAUGAGUUGGGAAAUUGUGUUAGAUGUAAAUAUAAACAGAAUACAAUGAUUUGCAAAUCCUUUUCAAGCCAUAUUCAGUUGAAUAUGCUACAAAGACAAGAGACACCAGUGAUUUAGGGCUAUAUAAGUAAACAUUGAUUGAUUGAUUGAUUGAUUGAUAUUUGAUGUUCAAACUCAUAAACUUUAUUUUUUUUUUGCAAAUAAUAAUUAACUUAGAAUUUCUUGGCUGCAACACGUGCCAAAGUAGUUGGGAAAGGGCAUGUUCACCACUGUGUUACAUCACCUUUUCUUUUAACAACACUCAAUAAACAUUUGGGAACUGAGGAAACUAAUUGUUGAAGCUUUGAAAGUGGAAUUCUUUCCCAUUCUUGUUUUAUGUAGAGCUUCAGUCCUUCAACAGUCCGGGGUCUCCACUGUCCUAUUUUACGCUUCAUAAUGUGCCACACAUUUACCAUGGGAGACAGGUCUGGACUGCAGGCGGGCCAGGAAAGUACCCGUACUCUUUUACUACGAAACCACGCUGUUGUAACACUUACAGAUGUAGCGACCAUCUGAGCCCAUGUGGAGAUAUUCUUUACACACUGAUGUCGGUUUUUGAUGCAGUACCGCCUAAGAGAUCAAAGGUCCGUUAUAUCGCUUACGUGCAGUGAUUUCUCCAGAUUCUCUGAACCUUUUGAUGAUUUUACGGACCGUAGAUGGUAAAAUCCCUAAAUUCCUUGCAAUAGCUCGUUGAGAAAUGUUGUUCUAAAACUGUUUGACAAUUUGCUUACAAAGUGGUGACCCUCACCCCAUCCUUGUUUGUGAAUGACUUAGCAUUUCAUGGAAGCUGUUUUUAUAGCCAAUCAUGGCACCCACCUGUUCCCAAUUAGCCUGCACACCUGUGGGAUGUUCCAUAUAAGUGUUUGAUGAGCAUUCCUCAACUUUAUCAGUAUUUAUUGCCACCUUUCCCAACUUCUUUGUCACGUGUUGCUGGCAUCAAAUUCUAAAGUUAAUGAUUAAUUGUAAAAAAAAAAAUAAAGUUUAUGAGUUUGAACAUGAAAUAUGUUGUCUUUGUAGCAUAUUCAACUGAAUAUGGCUUGAAAAGGAUUUGCAAAUCAUUGUAUUCUGUUUAUAUUUACAUCUAACACAAUUUCCCAACUCAUAUGGAAACAGUGUUUGUAUUUUUGAUCUAUGAUAUUUAAGUUUAGUCGAGGUUUAAUUACUUGUCACUGUAUGACUGUAGAAUACUCCAGCAGACUUCCACUCAAGCUAGCUAGCUGUUCCUGUACUUGUUAAAUGAUUUUGGGGCCAAUAUCUCCAGCUAGCUAGCUUUAUGUACCACCAUAGUUUAAUAAUGAACCGAAAAUAUUUCUCUGUUAGCCGUGAUGCUAAUUUUCUCUAUGUUAAAUCCCAUUCAUUUAUGCUAACAACGUACACGAUCCGAAUGUACCUUUUUUGUGAUCUGUAAAGUUCAACUAACAAAUACUAAAUCAAAUUGUGUAGUUUCCACUGCCUUUGGUUCUGUUAGCCAUUGUGUUGUCAUACUAGAAUGUCGGUUACAGUUGAUUUAGCAUGCUGAUUGAGUGUUCAUGUAUUCAUCUCGCAUGCUGAUUGAGUGUUCAUGUAUUCAUCUCGCAUGCUGAUUGAGUGUUCAUGUAUUCAUCUCGCAUGCUGAUUGAGUGUUCAUGUAUUCAUCUCGCAUGCUGAUUGAGUGUUCAUGUAUUCAUCUCGCAUGCUGAUUGAGUGUUCAUGUAUUCAUCUCGCCUAUUUCUAUUCAUUUGUCCAUCAGUAAAAUAUUUUUAAAGGCUACUCCAAUUGUUAAGCUAA